CCUACGGGAGGCAGCAGUAGGGAAUCUUCCACAAUGGGCGAAAGCCUGAUGGAGCAACGCCGCGUGGGUGAAGAAGGUCUUCGGAUCGUAAAACCCUGUUGUUAGAGAAGAAAGUGCGUGAGAGUAACUGUUCACGUUUCGACGGUAUCUAACCAGAAAGCCACGGCUAACUACGUGCCAGCAGCCGCGGUAAUACGUAGGUGGCAAGCGUUAUCCGGAUUUAUGGGGCGUAAAGGGAACGCAGGCGGUCUUUUAAGUCUGAUGUGAAAGCCUUCGGCUUAACCGGAGUAGUGCAUUGGAAACUGGGAGACUUGAGUGCAGAAGAGGAGAGUGGAACUCCAUGUGUAGCGGUGAAAUGCGUAGAUAGAUGGAAGAACACCAGUGGCGAAAGCGGCUCUCUGGUCUGUAACUGACGCUGAGGUUCGAAAGCGUGGGUAGCAAACAGGAUUAGAUACCCCUGUAGUC
rnacentral:rRNA from 1 species